UACGUAGGGAGCGAGCGUUGUCCGGAUUCAUUGGGCGUAAAGAGCUCGUAGGCGGCUUGGCAAGUCGGGUGUGAAAACUCCAGCUCAACCUGGAGACGCCACCCGAUACUGCCAUGGCUAGAGUCCGGUAGGGGACCACGGAAUUCCUGGUGUGAGCGGUGAAAUGCGCAGAUAUCAGGAGGAACACCGGUGGCGAAGGCGGUGGUCUGGGCCGGCACUGACGCUGAGGAGCGAAAGCGUGGGGAGCGAACAGG
rnacentral:rRNA from 1 species